rnacentral:tRNA from 1 species
GGGCCACUAGCUCAUCCGGUAGAGCACCGCUCUUUUAAGGCGGGUGUGCCGCGUUCAAGUCGCGGGUGGCCCA